CCCCGCUGCCCCUGCUGCUGCUGGUCUCUGCUCCGGACGCGCUCAGAAGGUGCCACCGCCGCCUUCUCUGGCCGGCUGGCCGCCGGGAGUGAACGCGCCCCCGCCUCCUGUCUGCUCUUCUGUCCGUCUGCACGUCUGUCAGUCCGACCGUCUGUGGGUCCGACUAGCAGCUCGGCGCGGGAUUCUCGCUUUGCUGCGCUCUGCUCUCAAAGCUGCCACUCUCGCAGGCUGCCAGUCUGUGCGCUGGUCUGUCCGUCCGUCCGAAUCCCUCCGUCCCACCAGCAAUGCAGCGUCCCUCUUCCGGUCUUCUGUGCCCACAGUCCUCUCCCACUCUGUGCCCCUGGCCGCUUCGCUCGGCCAACUCUGCAGAGACAAUCCCACAAUAAUAACACCUCGCCCCACC
rnacentral:lncRNA from 1 species